rnacentral:rRNA from 1 species
AGGAUGAACGCUGGCGGCGUACCUAACGCAUGCAAGUCGAACGGGGACUUUGUAGCAAUACGGGGUUCUAGUGGCAAACGGGUGAGUAACACGUAGGGAUCUACCUUGGAAUGGGGAAUAACGGAUCGAAAGGUUCGCUAAUACCGCAUACGGUCAUUGCCGGACGCGAGUUCGGGUGACGAAAGGUUACUUUUAACAAAGUGAUCGUUCCAAGCGGAGCCUGCGGUCGAUCAGGUAGUUGGUGAGGUAACGGCUCACCAAGCCCGCGACCGAUAGCUGAUCUGAGAGGAUGACCAGCCACACUGGCACUGAGAGACGGGCCAGACUCCUACGGGAGGCAGCAGCGAGGAAUCUGCACAAUGGAGGAAACUCUGAUGCAGUAACGCCGCGUGGGGAAGAAGACCUUCGGUGUAAACCUCGUUUUGUACCGACGAGUGAGGACGGUAGGUAUAGAAUAAGUCUACGGCUAACUACGUGCUAGCAGCGC